CCUACGGGGGGCUGCAGUGGGGAAUAGUGGACAAUGGGGGGAACCCUGAUCCAGCCAUGCCGCGUGUGUGAAGAAGGCCCUCGGGUUGUAAAGCACUUUCAGUGAGGAAGAACGCCUGGUGGUUAAUACCCAUCAGGAAAGACAUCACUCACAGAAGAAGCACCGGCUAACUCCGUGCCAGCAGCAGCGGUAAGACGGAGGGUGCGAGCGUUAAUCGGAAUUACUGGGCGUAAAGCGCGCGUAGGUGGCUUGAUAAGCCGGUUGUGAAAGCCCCGGGCUCAACCUGGGAACGGCAUCCGGAACUGUCAAGCUAGAGUGCAGGAGAGGAAGGUAGAAUUCCCGGUGUAGCGGUGAAAUGCGUAGAGAUCGGGAGGAAUACCAGUGGCGAAGGCGGCCUUCUGGACUGACACUGACACUGAGGUGCGAAAGCGUGGGUAGCAAACAGGAUUAGAUACCCGAGUAGUC
rnacentral:rRNA from 1 species